rnacentral:lncRNA from 1 species
GGCUCUUGAUGCAUAUGCCAAGUAGUUAUGGAGAAAGACACAGCAGCUUACCUCUGCAGGCAUCAUUGUGUGAAAGGAAGACCCAGGCUCUCUCACCACCCUUGAACAGAAGCCUUUUGCUAAGGUGAUAGCUACAUGUCCAAGCCUAUUGCGUGGCAUGCAUUUUGCCUUCUGCAGCCCACUAAAGGAAAUUGAAGUAUACAGAAUGCUUAUUUGGUCUACUCAGUAUCAUCCUAAAUGUAUGUACCAAUGCUUAGGAGUUUGCAGUUCACCCGCAAACCUCAGCGAUCCAAGCUCCCCUGGAUGACCAUCACUCACCAAGAAAAGAGCAAUAACAGGACCUGUUUUGCUAAUCCAGGACUGUUCUCCAGCACUAACUCUAAAUAAUCCCUUCUGCUAGAGUCCACUUUCUGGAACCUGUUGUGAGUAUUGUGAAUUGUUCUCCAACCUCUAUUCUAGUUAUCUCAUUUCCAUUGAGACUAGCAAAAGCACUUGCUUGAGAUUCUGUGUUCAAGUUUCAACUUUAG